GCCUUCUUAACAAAGUGGUAGAGUGCGUGGCUUUUAACCACGUGGUUGUGGGUUUGAUCCCUAAAGACGGUG
rfam:Ipomoea nil DNA, scaffold: scaffold3322, cultivar: Tokyo-kokei standard.